UUAAAAUAAAAAGAAACUCAUCCCUUCUUCCCUAGCAAGAAACCCUUCUCCCCCAAACUUUUUCCUCUUGCCGCUGCUGCCACCCUCAUUGCCCAAACCGACCUCGCCGCCGCCUCUCCCACUGCCCAGACCGACAUCACCGCUGCCCACGUCUGCCAGACCUGAAACUGCCAGUUUUUGUCUCGUCGUCGAUCAGCUGGCGCAAUCGUAGCUCUAGACGACGUCACGUCGUCACGUCUGAAGGUCUCAGUCAAUGGUCGGUUGUGUCGCAUGCCACAGAUCUGUCGAGCUACGUGUUGAUCUUCCUUCACCGUUUGUCGUAUCGUUGCCGAGCCAGUCGCCUGUUAGUUUCGUCUACGCCACUCUUCUCCAACAAGCCGACGCCGCCGGAUCUCUUCAACCCAGACCACUCACCGCCCUCAGACGUCUUUGGCUCCUUCUCGUUGGAUUUUGUUUUGAUUUCGCCGGAAUCCUUGAUUUUGGGUAGCGGUCAUUCCCCAGAAGACGACUCUGAUGUUGCUCUACCACUCAAGACCAAAAUGUUAGAAAGUCUAAGUGAGGGUUAUGUAUAAAGCAGUACACAUGUAUUAUGUCAUGUAGGGACUAGUGGAUUGUGUUGGGCUUACUACUUAUGUAAAGUAUAGUUGUAUUAUUGAAGAGUAAUGUAGAACUCUGUUAAUAAUUUUCAUUUGUCUUAAGUUGAUGAUUGAGUAUAUAUAUAUAUAUAUAUAUAUAUAUAUGCAUUUCAAGGUUCUAAGUCACGUUAAGCAGGUUAGUAG